rnacentral:rRNA from 1 species
UACGGGGGGAGCAAGCGUUGUUCGGAUUUACUGGGCGUAAAGGGCGCGUAGGCGGCCACCGCAAGUCGACUGUGAAAUCUCCGGGCUUAACCCGGAAAGGUCAGCCGAUACUGCGGGGCUAGAGUGCAGAAGGGGCAACUGGAAUUCUCGGUGUAGCGGUGAAAUGCGUAGAUAUCGAGAGGAACACCAGUGGCGAAGGCGAGUCUCUGGACGAUUCCUGACGCUGAGGCACGAAAGCCAGGGGAGCAAACGGG